GGUGUCUGAUCUGCUCGGAGGUCGGUACUAUGCGUGUGUACUGGGGUGCUGGGGAGAGGGGGUAACCUAAAGCUUUCGUCCUCGGGGUGAGUUCUAGAUGCCUCCCUUAACCAGAGAGCUGACAAUGCAGGUCCAGCCAGCAUCACCCGAACGCGGAGUCCAGGAGAGAAAAGAACAUUCAAGAGCGGGAAGGAGGGCGACGGAGAGUGGUUCCCAAAGGGGGAUUAAGCGGAUUUUCCACCAGUCCACCAGGGGCCAGAGGCUAGAAGUGAAGUUCCCUGAUUCUUACCUGGUCUGAUACCAAGAAUGUUUCAAGGAGGCAAAAACUGCAAAACAGGGACUGAAGCAUGCCAGGCCUCCCUGUCCUUCAUCAUCUCCUGGAGUUUGUCAAACUCACGUCCAUUGAGCCUGUGAUGCCAUUCAACCAUCAUCCUCUGUCAUCCCCUUCUCCUCCUGCCCUCAAUCUUUCCCAGCAUCAGGGUCUUUCCCAAUGAGUUGGUUCUUCACAUCAGGUGGGCAAAGUAUUGGUGCUUCAGCUUCAGCUUCAUUCCUUCAAAUGAAUAUUCACGACCGAAUUCCUUUAGGAUGGACUGGUUGGAUCUCCUCGCAGUCCAAGGAACUCUCAAGAGUCUUCUCCAACACCACAGUUCAAAAGCAUCAAUUCUUCAACGCUCAACUUUUUUUUUUCCAGCUUUCUUUAUAGUCCAACUCUCACAUCCAUACAUGACCACUGGAAAAACCAUAGCUUUGACUAGACAGACCUUUGUUGGCAAAGUAAUGUCUCUGCUUUUUAAUAUGCUGUCUAGGUUGGUCAUAACUUUCCUUCCAAGGAGUAAGCGUCUUUUAAUUUCAUGGCUGCAGUCACCAUCUGCAGUGAUUUUGGAUCCCCCCCAAAUAAAGUCAGCCACUGUUUCCCCAUCUAUUUGUCAUGAAAUGAUGGGACCAGAUGCCAUUAUCUUAGUUUUCUGAAUGUUGAGUUUUAAGCCAGCUUUUUCACUCUCCUCUCACUUUCAUCAAGAGGCUUUUCAAUUCCUCUUCGCUUUCUGCCAUAAGUGUGGUAUCAUCUGCACAUCUGAGGUUAUUGAUAUUUCUCCCAGCAAUCUUGAUUCCAGCUUGUGCUUCUUCCAGCCUGGUAUUUUUCAUGAUGUACUCUGCAUAUAAGUUAAAUAAGUAGGGUGACAAUAUACAGCCUUGACGUAUUCCUUUCCUGAUUUAGAACCAUCUGUUGUUCCAUGUCCAGUUCUAACUGUUGCUUCUUGACAUGCAUACAGGUUUCUCAGGAGGCAGGUCAGGUGAUCUGGCAUUCCCAUCUCUUUCAGAAUUUUCCACAGUUUCUUGUGAUCCACACAGUCAACGGCUUUGGCAUAGUCAAUAAAGCAGAUGUUUUUCUGCCACUCUCUUGCUUUUUCGAUGAUUCAGCACAUGUUGACAAUUUGAUCUCUGGUUCUUCUGCCUUUUCUAAAUCUAGCUUAAACAUCUGGAAGUUCACGGUUCAGGUACUGUUGAAACCUGGCUUGGAGAAUUUUGAGCAUUACUUUGCUAGCGUGUGAGAUGAGUGUAGUUGUGCGGUAGUUUGAGCAUUCUUUGGCAUUGCCAUUCUUUGGGACUGGAAUGAAAACUGACCUUUUCCAGGGGCCACUGCUGAGUUUUCCAAAUUUGCUGGCAUAGUGAGUGCAGCACUUUCACAGCAUCAUCUUUCAGGAUUUGAAAUAGCUCAACUGGAAUUCCAUUACCUCCACUAGCUUUGUUCGUAGUGAUGCUUCCUAAGGCCCACUUGACUUCAUAUUCCAAGAUGUCUGGUUCUAGGUGAGUGGUCACUCCAUCGUGGUUAUCCGUGUCAUGAAGAUCUUUUCUGUAUAGUUCUGUGUAUUCUUGCCACCUCUUCUUAAUAUCGUGUUUCUGUUAGGUCCAUACCAUUUCUGUCCUUUAUUGUGCCCAUCUUUGCAUGAAAUGUUCCCUUGGUAUCUCUAAUUUUCUUGAGGAGAUCUCUAGUCUUUCGCAUUCUGUUGUUUUCCUCUAUUUCUUUGUAUCGAUCACCGAGGAAGGCUUUCUUAUCUCUCCUUGCCAUUCUUUGGAACUCUGCAUUCAAAUGGGUGUAUCUUUCCUUUUCUCCUUUGCCUUUUGCUUCUCAUCUUUUCACAGCUACUUGUAAGGACUCCUCAGAUAACCAUUUUGUCUUUUUGCAUUGCUUUUUCUUGGGGAUGGUCUUGCUCCCUGUCUCCUGUACAAUGUCAUGAACUUCCAUCCAUAAUUCUUCAGGCACUCUAUCAGAUCUAAUCUCUUGAAUCUAUUUGUCACUUCCACUGUAUAAUCGUUAGGGAUUUGAUUUAGGUCAUACCUGAAUGGUUCAGUGGUUUUCCCUGUUUUUUUCAAUUUAAGUCUGAAUAAGGAGUUCAUGAUCUGAGCCACAGUCAGCUCCCCAUCUUGUUUUUGCUGACUGUAUAGAGCUUCUCCAUCUUUGGCUGCAAAGAAUAUAAUCAAUCUGAUUUCGGUAUUGACCAUUUGAUGAAGUCCAAGUGGAGAGUCUUGUGUUGUUGGAAGAGGGUGAAGAACAGAACAUUCCGACUGAUUGAACACUGUGGUCAACACUAAGUUGCCGUGUAACACGAUACAGAUUACACAUUUUCAAAAAAUUAGGAUAUGAGAUCAUGACAACAAAAUUUAUAUUAAUCAAAAUCUUCAAAAAAUUAUACCAACUUCUGAACCCUAAACUUUAAUGAUUUGGGAGUUCGUCUCCUACUGCUGUUCUGUUCCUAAGUAUCAGUGUAUUAGCGAUCAGGCAUUCUACCUUUCUGCCAGUUUAACUGUUCUUCCCUAGGCUGUCCCUAGCCCUGUGAUGUGCCUUUUCUAUAUAGUCACUUUCUAAGUCUAUUUCCUUCAAAGGAUUAAAAGUUUCUACAUGGCAGGAAUAUUGUGUUUGUAACCCACACAGCUUCUAGCAUGUGCUUGGCCCACAGUGAGCAUUCAAUAUACAUUAAAAAAAAUUGUUUUGGCCACACUAUGUGGCUUGUAGGAUCUUAGUUCCCCGAACAGGGACUGAACCCGGGGCGCUGGCAGUGAGACCACAAAGUCUCAACCACUGGACUGCCAGGUAACUCCCCCAAGAUACAUUUUUAUGUUUCAAACUAGUUCCCCCUAAAUGGAUAAGGGGUAAAGCAAAUAUUUAUAGCAACUUCAACUAUUGUUUCAAGUGAAUUAAGCAAAAAACCCAAAACUAAAACAAAAAAACUUAACAGGUAUCUAAUCUUUGAUGAGAAAUUUACUGAAUGCUUUGUUGGUGGCAAAUACCAUGCUAAGUGCUAAAUUCUCAAAACUCUCAAAACAAUCAAUGAGGUAGGUGGUAUUUUAUUUACGGAGAGAAGACUGACAGAUAGGGGGUUUUAUGAGGUACUCGAGUAUUUGUUGUGCACUUCUACUUAUUGGGCGCUGAACUAGCACAGAACACUCGCUGCCUUCUGUGGAGCCUAUUUUCUAGUAGAACUUGCUAAGAUCACAUACAUGUAUCAGUAUUCUAGAUUUAUACUUUAUGAGUUUGGACGGUUGAGUGUUCAUCUCUGAAAUGGCCCCAUUCUCACUGUUGACAAAAAUUUGAGACUCAAGAGCUAAAGUUCAAGCCCUGGUGACUUCUUCAAGAAGUCACCUUGAAGGUCACUCUACCCUUGUUGACAGCAUCCAAUCUUGUGAGGAUCUGAGCUCCAAACUUAAAAUAAGCAGAAAAUAUUCUCAAUAGAAGACUUAUAAAAUAAUAAAAGGAAUUAUAUGCUGUAAGAGUCCAUUGGACAGCAAGGAGAUCAAACCAAUUCUAAAGGAAAUCAGUCCUGAAUAUUCAUUGGGAGGACUGAUGCGGAAGCUCCAACUUUGGCCACCUGAUGCAAAAAACUGACUAAUUGGAAACGACCCUGAUGCUGGGAAAGAUUGAAGGCAGGAGAAGGGGAUGACAGAGGAUGAGAUGGUUGGAUGGUAUCACCGACUUGAUGGACAGGAAUUUGAGCAAGCUCCAGGAGUUGGGGAUGGACAGGGAAGCCUGGCGUGCUGCAGUCCAUGGGGUUGCAAAGAGUUGGACACGAUGGAACUGAAUUGAUACUAUGGGAUUAAAGAAAUAAAAGUUAAAGCUAUAACUUUUAAAGCCAGAAAUUUAGCUGCCAUACAAGCUUCAGUUAAGAGUAGUAGAACAGAGGGGAGACUACAGAAUGGACUCUGGCCUCUCAGCAGCUCAGAGGGGUGGAAAAGUCUAGGGGAAGGAUGAAAGUACCCAGCAUCAUCACAAUUCAAAGAGUAAAGCUACAGACCCGAGGCUGUUUUGAGUUUUAUUUACUUCUUUCUGGGGCUAGACACAUACACAGGGAGACAGCUGAAAAAUGCAAAGAGGAAAGAGCAGCUUCAGGCCUGAAACAUUC